rnacentral:misc_RNA from 1 species
AGCAGCCGCGGUAAUUCCAGCUCCAAUAGCGUAUAUUAAAGUUGUUGCAGUUAAAAAGCUCGUAGUUGAAUUUCGGGAUCAAUAUGUUGGUCGUGCCUCGGUACGUACUAGCAUGUUGGUUUCUCCUUUCUGAAGAACCAUGAUGUCAUUUAUUUGGUGUCGUGGGGAAUCAGGACUGUUACUUUGAAAAAAUUAGAGUGUUUAAAGCAGGCUCACGCUUGAAUACAUUAGCAUGGAAUAAUGAAAUAGGACGUUUGAUUCUAUUUUGUUGGUUUCUAGGAUCGACGUAAUGAUUAAUAGGGAUAGUUGGGGGCAUUAGUAUUCAAUUGUCAGAGGUGGAAUUCUUGGAUUUAUUGAAGACUAACUACUGCGAAAGCAUUUGCCAAGGAUGUUUUCAUUAAUCAAGAACGAAAGUUAGGGGAUCGAAGACGAUCAGAUACCGUCGUAGUCUUAACCAUAAACUAUGCCGACUAGGGAUCGGAUGAUGUUAAUUUUUUCAAUGACUCAUUCGGCGCCUUAC